GGCUUUUAUAUGAGAAAACUACAGUAUGAGUUGAAUCUUAAAAUCUGAGGUUUUUUUAGAACAUUAAAUGAAUGUAUUUGAGAAUAUUAGAUUCUUCUGGUUUCUCUUUUCUAGAUUAUAAAUAUAAGCUGGAUGUAAAAAAUGCUAACAAAUAUCAAGUCUGAGAAAAUGCUGGAAAUCUUUGCUCUUCUUUAGGAGGGGCACUUCCACGGCUCUUGUUUAUUUCUUCUCUUUCUUUAUACCAAACAUUAAAAAAGAUGUUGUUCCUACAAGAAGAGAGUGUAUAAUUUUGUUUCCUAUCUAAAUAUUAGCUUUCUGAAUAUCUGUUGAAAAAGGCAGUUCAAAAAAUCUUCAGUCACUAGUUGAUAGGAAUCAGAAUAUGUAAUGGAUUAAUAACAGUGUGAUUGUGAUGCCUUUAAAGAUGUGGAAAGUGAAGAAGUCUGCCAGAAAUUUAGAAUAGUUGCUGAGUAUGUCAGUUCUCUUUUUAAUAAGAUGCUAAACCUUGAAGAUACAGUGGAAGUAGAAUAGAUGUAAUUUUUUUUUUUCCCCCUGUAUAUCCAUCAUUAAGCCAGUAAAAGCUUACUGGCUAGAGCUUUGUGUCUACUGAAGAUGAAAUCUUUUAAAAUUGCAGCAUAUAAAAUACUGUUAGAUGCUAACUUUUACUUUGUUCCUUUUAUAAACAGGACAUACUUGCAUGAUUAAUCAUCGUUCUUGUGAUCUGAUGUCAGUCAUUCUCAGGUGCUUCUGUAGAGGCAGAUAUGAAAACAUAGCACUCGAGUCUUUCUCUGUGAAAGGAGAUGGGAGAGAGAAACACUGAGAAACUCAGGUCUAAUACUAUAAUACUACCAUUAGCUUUCACUAUAUGUAUAGAUAGAUAGUUAUAAAAUAUACAUAUUUGUCAUUAUUUGUAUAAAGUAUGUUUGUCACUGGAAUUCAAACUUCAGUUUGUGUCUUUAUUUUGUUUUGUUUUAUUUUCUGUUUUGGGUGACUACUGAGAAUGCUGAAGAUAAUAUGAAUAGAAACAUAAAGCGAAUCCCAGUUUUGCAGAAAAGCUCAGGAGGCAGUUAGGCUUCAUUAAAAACGGUCUUGUUCUUUCUGUUUGGGUUCUGUGCUAGUUCAAGCUUGAAACAGAGCGAGUUUCUUGUUGAAGGUGAUGAAGUCAAACCUCUAUUUAAAAAGCACUUUUUUCUUGUUUUAUAAGUGGGUGGCAAAGGUAGUAAAGGUGGAGUUCAUAACACUAAACUUCGCCUUUUCUUUUCCGUACACUUAACCUUUCUUCAAUCAACAACAGCUGUGAGCUGGACAUAUUUAACAGUGGUUGCUUUUUCAUGGAAAUAACUUAACUGACCUGUGAACUGUGUAGGAGAUAUCAGUGUAAUAGCUUAUUGUAUUUGCUCCCACAAUUCUUUCCUC
rnacentral:lncRNA from 1 species